CCGACCGCGCCACGUUUUCCCAACAGUUAAAAGGCGCCUACAGGUACAAGUGGCGAUACAAGUUGCCCCACUUGACGCCGCCGCCGACCGACGUGUCGAUCCGUCACGGGUCGCAUCGCCCCGACGUCAGCGCGCGGAUGCGGUGCGGCAGGAGGAUCCCGGUGGGGCUGGGUCGCGAUGGCCGGCUUGCGACCUGCAAGCGAGACGAGAGGAAUCAAUCCAUCUCUGUCCCGGCAGCAGAGGAGGGAAGGAGAGUCGUCGGACGAACGGGGCUUUUGCGGGCGCCCCCCGCAAGGGCCGGUCCAUCUCCGGCCUGAUUGGAUCGACGGUCAUAGUCGUGGAAAUAAAGCCCAAAGAGCCUCUCGACUCGCCGGAUCCACCUCAGCCGAUGGCGACACUGGCUAAUCAGGCGAACUAGGAUGGCAUCUAGUCUAACUCAAAAGGUUUGCCCAGGAUGGUGAUUGCUGGUUUCCGGAGAAAGGAAGAACGGUGAUUGCUAAAUGCUAUGGAGGAUGAGUGAAGCAG
rnacentral:lncRNA from 1 species